rnacentral:lncRNA from 1 species
AAUGCAACGUGUUUGGUAAGAUAAUAAGUAAUAACUAUUAUUUACUUUGUGGACUCCAUCUUUAUUGUGUUUUGUAAUUCCAAUCAUGGCCACUAAGUGUUGUGCUCCAGGGUGUAGAACGGGCUAUGUCAACGAACCACAACAGUCUGGUGUUAUGAUCCAUCUGUGGACAAACUAAGAGAGAACCCCGGACUUGAUACUGUUUGGCUGAGAGCCAUUCCAAGAGAAAUAGAUCUGAAGAAGACAAAUAAGGGACCAUCCAAAAGUACAUAGCUGUGUUCCCUACAUUUCAACGACUCUGAUUUCAUCUGUGAGUCUAAAAGAAGUCAGACCCUUUACAAGGCUCUAAAGAAGAGGUACCUCAAACCAGAUGUAGUACCAUCCCUAUGGCCAAACUGUCCCAACUACCUCUCAACUCCUACAGCGUCAUCAAGGCUAACUCAAGCUGCUACCACGUCACGUAGGGCUCAACAGUUCAAUGAACUACAACAGCAUGCUGUGUUUCACGAAUCAUCAAUUGGAGCACUUAAGUACUACUCUAAAGAAGACAACAGACCGGAGUUUAAAGACACAGCCGAAUUUUCAGAGUUAGUCAGAACUAUGUAGAAUAUCCUAAACGUCAAGACACCUGGAGUUGGCUACGAAAAGAGUGAUGAGAUUCGGGAACCAAUCUCUGAGAAGAACAAACUUAGCCUCUCUUUCUUAGGAGGUUUUAGUCGACUUUCUCAUCGAGUGGUAAAACAGUAAAUCACUUGGCCUCAGAAACGUUCCUAGUAACAAAGCAGACGUGUCUUGCUGCAGCAGAUCUGGCAGAGUAUCUUUUCCUAGAUGAAGACUUAUGUUUCAAACAAAAUCUUCUGACUUUUAGACUUGGACCAACUUUGUACUUUUUGAUACUGCCUUUUCUUUUUAUAUGUUUUAAAUGUUUAUUUUGAUUAAAGUACUAAUAAAAUACCACUUCUAUAGAAA